rnacentral:rRNA from 1 species
UCCUACGGGGCGCAGCAGUAGGGAAUCUUUCACAAUGGGCGAAAGCCUGAUGGAGCAACGCCGCGUGCAGGAUGAAGGCCUUCGGGCUGUAAACUUCUUUUAAGAGGGAAGAGAAGAAGACGGUACCUCUUGAAUAAGCCACGGCUAACUACGUGCCAGCAGCCGCGGUAAUACGUAGGUGGCAAGCGUUGUCCGGAUUUACUGGGUGUAAAGGGCGUGCAGCCGGGCUGACAAGUCAGAUGUGAAAUCCCGCGGCUCAACCGCGGAACUGCAUUUGAAACUGUCAGUCUUGAGUACCGGAGAGG